rnacentral:rRNA from 1 species
CUACGUGCCAGCAGCCGCGGUAAUACGUAGGGUGCGAGCGUUAAUCGGAAUUACUGGGCGUAAAGCGAGCGCAGACGGUUACUUAAGCAGGAUGUGAAAUCCCCGGGCUCAACCUGGGAACUGCGUUCUGAACUGGGUGACUAGAGUGUGUCAGAGGGAGGUAGAAUUCCACGUGUAGCAGUGAAAUGCGUAGAGAUGUGGAGGAAUACCGAUGGCGAAGGCAGCCUCCUGGGAUAACACUGACGUUCAUGCUCGAAAGCGUGGGUAGCAAACAGGAUUAGAUACCCUGGUAGUCCACGCCCUAAACGAUGUCAAUUAGCUGUUGGGCAACUUGAUUGCUUAGUAGCGUAGCUAACGCGUGAAAUUGACCGCCUGGGGAGUACGGUCGCAAGAUUGAAACUCAAAGGAAUUGACGGGGGCCCGCACAAGCGGUGGAGCAUGUGGUUUAAUUCGAAGCAACGCGAAGAACCUUACCAGGUCUUGACAUCCCUCUGACCGCUCUAGAGAUAGAGUUUUCUUCGGGACA